rnacentral:rRNA from 1 species
UCGGAUUAGCUAGUUGGUGAGGUAAUGGCUCACCAAGGCGACGAUCCGUAACUGGUCUGAGAGGAUGAUCAGUCACNCUGGAACUGAGACACGGUCCAGACUCCUACGGGAGGCAGCAGUGGGGAAUAUUGGACAAUGGGCGAAAGCCUGAUCCAGCCAUGCCGCGUGUGUGAAGAAGGUCUUCGGAUUGUAAAGCACUUUAAGUUGGGAGGAAGGGCAGUCAGGAAUACCNNGCUGUCUUGACGUUACCGACAGAAUAAGCACCGGCUAACUCUGUGCCAGCAGCCGCGGUAAUACAGAGGGUGCAAGCGUUAAUCGGAAUUACUGGGCGUAAAGCGCGCGUAGGUGGUUUGUUAAGUUGAAUGUGAAAUCCCCGGGCUCAACCUGGGAACUGCAUCCAAAACUGGCAAGCUA